GCACGGAUGGCCGAGUGGUUUCAGCGCUGGACUUUUACUCCAAGGUCGGAUGUUUCGAGUCCAUCUGUGGA
rnacentral:tRNA from 1 species